GGAACACUACGUCGCGGAAUACGUUGCAAGGAUUCAGCAUGUUGAGAAGUGGUAGACUGGUACUUGAAACAGCAUCCUGGUUGACACAUCUAGCUGUACUUCCGUUGCAGUGCGCGGUAGAGCGAAUCCUACUUUCGCUUUCACUUUCAGAAUCUUGCUCGAUAUACAGCAACAAGAAGUUCCCGUCCCGUCCUAAAUAUGAUCCCAUCAUAUCAAUUGUCCUUCUCUUACUGCCAUUUAAAGUUAUUUCGUGAGUUCAUGUUUCUACACUGGCUUUUUGCUCGCUGUUCUUAAAGAAAACUGAAAAACGGGAAUACCAAAACUAUUAAUAGCUUCGUCCCGCAGUGUAUAGUAAUAGUUAAUUCCAUUGGUUGUUAUUACAGAUACAGCCUGGUUCCCUUGGUAUGCUACGCUGGCGCUAGACUAUGCAAAUAAAGUCUGAUAUCAGAGACGGGGCCCAGCUUACACUAUGUAGCGCCAGCGCGGCAUACCCGGGGAACCAGGCUGUUUCAACUUACUGAAUGAAGAGAUGGAACACAGCUUCUGGCCAACACUCCACAUUGACUGGUUCCCGUUCGUUCCUGCACGGACCAAAAUUAUAUAGGCCCGUGGUUACUGAGAAGACAAAUAUCGAGAAAACAAACUAACACGAUCAGUAAACGAAAAUUGCCAAAACGCUUCGCCCCAUUUUCCACAAACCUGUUUCCGUGUUUUAAUCUGUGCCGCAUAUUUGGCUCAUGAAACAGGACUCGUUUGCGAAAUUCAUGCUUAUUCAUCGUCCAAACGACCUUUGAGGCGGAUUCGAUAUUCGAUUUAUUGAUACUAGUAUCUAAAGUCAUUAAGUGAUAUCAAUAUGUAGGGAGGAAAUAGUAAAAUGGCGCCCAUUGCUAACAAUCAUUGUUGCCUAGGGAGUUUGUGGAAACAAGACAGUCGAAUCAAAGAGCAGCACAUACAAGAAGUGACGGACAGGUUGAAACCAGGGAAGGUGGAGUGCUACCUGUGUGGUCCAUCCCCCAUGAUAGCAAGUAUAGAAACAAUGCUUAAGGCCUGUGGCAUCACUGAACCCAGCAUUCACUACGAGAGAUGGUGGUAGAUGCUCUGGGAUUGUAUAUUGGAGGAGUAUCAUGGCAUUAUGGAAUUCCUAUGGUAUGUUUUAUUAAGUUUUAAGCACAUAUCAGUUGUGCCCUUGACAAAUGUAGUGAUAAUUCCAAUUAAGUGUUGCUGUAUUUGUCAAAAGAAUUUCCAUGAAGCCCUCAAAAACCUGAAUAAAAUCUGUGAUCACUGA